rnacentral:ncRNA from 2 species
GAGUUAUAGAGAAGAGGGGAGAGAACAGGCUCCGUGAACCUCUGGCAACCCUCCGCUGUUUGGCGGAAACGGUGCCAAUACCUGUUCCCCGCAAGGGGAAGCUUAUAAUUG